rnacentral:rRNA from 1 species
GACAGAGGAUGCAAACGUUGCUCGGAAUUACUGGGCGUAAAGCGCGUGUAGGCGGUCGCGUAAGUCGGGUGUGAAAUCCCGGGGCUCAACCCCGGAAGCGCACUCGAUACUGCGGGACUGGGGUCCUGAAGAGGAGAGCGGAAUUCCCGGUGUAGAGGUGAAAUUCGUAGAUAUCGGGAGGAACACCAGUGGCGAAGGCGGCUCUCUGGGCAGGUACCGACGCUGAGACGCGAAAGCGUGGGAAGCAAACAGG